GCUGGGCACGGUGGCGGGUGCCUGUAAUCCCAGCUACUCGGGAGGCUGAGGCAGGAGAAUCACUUGAACCCAGGAGGCAGAGGUUGCAGUGUUCAUGCCACUGCAUUCUAGCCCGGGUGACAGAGUGAUACUCUGUCUCAA
rnacentral:sRNA from 1 species